rnacentral:rRNA from 1 species
CAUGAAGCCGGAAUUGCUAGUAAUCGUAGGUCAGCAUACUACGGUGAAUACGUUCCCGGGCCUUGUACACACCGCCCGUCAAACCAUGAGAGUUGGCAACACCCGAAGUCGGUAGUCUAACCGCAAGGAGGACGCCGCCGAAGGUGGGGUUGAUGAUUAGGGUUAAGUCGUAACAAGGUAAC